UACCGAGCCUUGGGUGGCAGAAAAGGCGACUAGUCCGGCACAAUCAGCAGCAGUCGCCAGUUUCUUGGAGCCAAUUGUAGUAAUGCCGGGAUUUUCCGGUGGAUCUGGUACCGCUGCAUCGGUCAACGUGGCCGCUGCCAAUAUCAGCAUCGCCCACACCACCCUGCGUUCGUGAAAAAAAAGAUUAGGAUGUCUGAAGAGGCCUGGUCUGGCGCAGUCAGUGGCACCAUCGAUGACUUGGUCGGGAUCGUCUUCUUGGUCGGAAAUGAUCGCGUUUGGUGAUGGAGCAAUCUCCAAUUUUUUGCCGACUCGAAGGCCACCUCGGAAUCUAUCAGGGCUGUGGUGAAUGGUCAUCAUAAUUGGUAACGUAGUCGCCCUCUUCAGAAGAGUCGUCGUUCUCAAGAUCGACGUAGAUGUCGGACUCAUCAUAAUUAGCCAGAUCCACCUUGCCUCUAGAAGAAGCUAUCAACUUUUUCUUCCC